CCUAUUUUGUUCUGCUUUAUUGAAACCAGAGCCAUCCCAAAAUCAGAGGUAUUUAAAACAUUUAUUAGCAUUAAUCAUUGGAGGUUAAAUAAAACACAAAACCCCUACAUUUUAGGGCAAAAAAAUAUUAUUAGGUAUGAUACAAUUAAUAUGUAAAACAGAAGGUAAAGUAUUAAGAUUGCAGCAUCCCAUACAUGAAGCAACUGGGUCCAGCCCAGUCAAAGCCCUUAUAUAAACAAAACAGAGGAAGAGUACUUAGCAGGUGAUUUUAAACUGACUCUGGUUUAAAUAAUUAAUGGUAGCAUAGUAAAAUAUAUCAUCAUUGUACUGAAAAAGUCUGAUUAUAGUCAGAAUGCUUGAGUAUCUACUACACACUUAUUACCACAUGCCAUGAAGCAUUAGUGAAGACAAGGGAUGACAGGUAACUUUUUUAGGUGUUGAUACAGACCCAUAUUACAUCAUAACACUUUAGAGACACCUGCUGUACCAUGAACAAAAAUAAUCAAUUCUUUCUCCCUUUUUAUUUUUUUUAAUGGGGUGUCACUUUAUUACUUCUGAGUCACAAUUCUUGAAUAAUAAUGGCAUUUUUAAGAUGUCGCAGUCUGCAAGAUAGUUCUUCUGUAAUAUGCCAUUUUCAUGCAUAAGAAUGACAAGUCAACAACUGUACCUAUGUGCAUCUCCAUCUUCUUGCUACCUUUGAUCCAUCACUUUAAGUUCAUAAAGGCGAAAUGACCAUUAAAAAAAAAAUGUACUUACAGAAUACAAUGUGCAGUACAUGAGAACCAGACAUAGUGAAAAAACACUACAUGUCAGCAUAACAAUAUAAAACUGUACUUAUAUACACACACAUAUAUGCAGAGCAUAUGUGAAAACUAGUUCCUUCUUAAUCUUGUUUUUAAACUAGUUCAUGACAAGCCAGAAAAGCAAGUCACCCACAACUGGACACAGUCUUGAGUCAUGGUGCAAACAGGCUCCACCAAAUACCCUUGGCAGUGCAGCCCGUGCCUCAGUCCUGCUGCCAGUUCUCUAGAGAAAACCAAUUUUGGACAAAUCCAGCACCAGCUGGCCAACAUAGAACUGCAGUGUUGUUAUUCUUAGUGCUCCUGUACAGUACUUUAGGUUUUCACCAGCCAUUAACUACCAAAAGGAAUUCC
rnacentral:lncRNA from 1 species